AGUAUCAUUAAGUGAAUACAUAGCUUAAUGAGGGGAACUCAGGGAACUGAAACAUCUAAGUACCUGAAGGAAGAGAAAGAAAUUCGAUUCCGUAAGUAGCGGCGAGCGAACGCGGAUUAGCCCAAACCAAUAAAGUUUUCUUUAUUGGGGUUGCGGACAUAUCAUAACGAAGAGGUAUCGUAAUUGAAGAGGUUUGGAAAGACCCACCACAGAAGGUAAUAGUCCUGUAUGUUAAACGAGAAGACUUUAGAUAUGAUCCAGAGUACCACGGGACACGUGAAACCCUGUGGGAAGCAGGAGGGACCACCCUCCAAGGCUAAAUACUACCUAGUGACCGAUAGCGUAUAGUACCGUGAGGGAAAGGUGAAAAGAACCCCGGGAGGGGAGUGAAAUAGAACCUGAAACCCUGCACUUACAAGCUGUGGAAGCACAUUUCUUGUGUGACCGCGUACUUUUUGUAGAACGGGCCAACGAGUUACGUUAAGUAGCAAGGUUAAGCACUUAAGGUGCGGAGCCGUAGCGAAAGCGAGUUUUAACUGAGCGUUCAGUUACUUGACGUAGACCCGAAACCGGGCGACCUACCCAUGAGCAGGAUGAAGCGAAAGUAAAAUUUCGGGGAGGUCCGAACCCACGAGCGUUGAAAAGCUCGGGGAUGACUUGUGGGUAGCGGUGAAAUUCCAAUCGAGCCCGGAGAUAGCUGGUUCUCCCCGAAAUAGCUUUAGGGCUAGCCUCAAGGUGAGAGAUACGGAGGUAGAGCACUGAAUGUCCUAGGGGGUAUUGCACCUACCGAAGACUAUCAAAC
rnacentral:rRNA from 1 species